rnacentral:ncRNA from 1 species
GAAAGGGGGUGCCAAAUAUGGCUGAGAUUAUACCCUAUGAACCUGAACGGAUAAUGCCGGCGUAGGAAUUUUCAA